rnacentral:rRNA from 1 species
GAUGAACGCUGGCGGCGUGCCUAAUACAUGCAAGUCGAACGAAAUACCUUCGGGUAUUUAGUGGCGAACGGGUGAGUAAUACGUAGAUAACCUGCCUAUAGGACUGGGAUAACUAUUGGAAACGAUAGCUAAUACCGGAUAGGUAGAACGAGGGCAUCCUUGUUCUAUUAAAGUUGGGAAACAACACAUAUAGAUGGAUCUACGGCGCAUUAGUUAGUUGGCGGGGUAACGGCCCACCAAGGCGAUGAUCAUUAGGGGUCCUGAGAGGGUGAUCCCCCACACUGGUACUGAGACACGGACCAGACUCCUACGGGAGGCAGCAGUGAGGAAUAUUGGACAAUGGGUGAGAGCCUGAUCCAGCCAUCCCGCGUGCAGGAAGACGGCCUUAUGGGUUGUAAACUGCUUUUAUACAGGAAUAAACCACCUUACGAGUAGGGUGUUGAAGGUACUGUAUGAAUAAGCACCGGCUAACUCCGUG